UGGUGUGGCCCGCCUGCAAGUUGCCAAGCAACUGUUUUAAUAAAUUCGCCGCUGCCGCUCCCGCCCACGGAGGAUAGUUAGUAUUUUCUCUCGAGAAUUAAACGUCUAGCAGAAUUCUGAUUGCCGCCAAUUCAAGUCCAAGGCCAUCCUCGGAGAAGCUGAUGGAAUGCUGCCUCGGGCUGCGGUGAAGUCCGCCAGCCUGGGGCCCUGCCCUGGCCUCCUGUCUGCCGUCCGGGGCUCUUGGGGCCUCAGUUUCCUUUUGUAAAAUUGGCAUAACGAUGCCUGACUUCAGGAAAGUUCUUAAUUGGGAUCGAGUGAAGUAACACACAUGAAAGACUUUUGCGAAGUGUAAGAUUCCAUAAGAAUGUUAAGGGGUUGUUAGGACACACACAUGGACGCGUGCCAACUCCAAAGAUUUCAUCUGGUGGCUGAACUUCUGAAGGAAAAGAAGAGAGAGGGAUCUUCUGACUCUGUGGGACAUACACUGAACCUUCUCCUUUGCUAUUCAGUGUGGUCUGCGAACCAGGAGCCUUAAUAUCUGCAGGGGACUUUCAGACCCGCAAGACCUUUUUAUAAAAUGCAGAUCGAGAAGGUCCAGGGGGUGCUGAGCAAAUUCCCAGCUGAGCUGGCCGCACCGAGUCAAGAUGAGAAAGGAAAGCGAGGCUGAGCGAAGCAAACUCCUUGUCAAGACAUCAUACAGCCAUUAAGCAGCAGAGCCAGUGAAGCCUGUCCGGUACCGAAGUCCCCCAGCAUAAUCUUGGAAUCCUCUCUGACAAGUACUCCCUCCUCAAGGACACCUUUCCUCAUUCUUUCCCAAAUGGAUCAUCUCAUACCAUCGCUUCUUGAAGACUGCUUCUCAUAUUCUGCCUCAUGAAACGGCAGGCAUUUGCCUCGUCUUGCUUGCUAGACUUUAAACUGUGUCUUACUCCUGUGUGUAUCCUUUGCAGCACCAAGCUCUCAGUGUCUUACACACAGCUGGCGUGAAAUCAGCGUUUGUUGAAUUAUAUUUCCCACACCUGAGGAAUACUCCAGAAACCUCUAUCAUGAUACAGAGUCUUACACAAUCCUGGUGCUUCAUCAUAUUUUUAAAACGAUCUUUCUGCUGUUUCGGGGGAACUAAUUGACAAGCUGCUUUUGCAUCGACCACCCGGGGAAGAAUAAAAGCACGUGCACGCAAAUGUA